UGCCAGCCGCCGCGGUAAUACGGAGGGUGCAAGCGUUAAUCGGAUUUAUUGGGCGUAAAGAGCGCGUAGGCGGAAAUGCCAGUCAGACGUGAAAGACCGGGGCUCAACCCCGGGACCGCGUUUGAAACUUCAUUUCUCGAGGAUAGACGGGGAGAGCGGAAUUCCAUGUGUAGCGGUGAAAUGCGUAGAUAUGUGGAGGAACACCGGUGGCGAAGGCGGCUCUCUAGUUUAUUCCUGACGCUGAGGCGCGAAAGCAGGGGGAGCAAACAGGAUUAGAUA
rnacentral:rRNA from 1 species